rnacentral:hammerhead_ribozyme from 1 species
CCGCGAAACCCCGCGUCAGCGGGGUCGCCCCACUUAUUCCGCUGUCGGGGCCUGAUGAGCAGAGCGGA